rnacentral:lncRNA from 1 species
AUAAAGUAUUUAUUAGGUAUUGGAUUUUAUAAACUGUUUGGUCCUGGAGUCUUUAUUUUAAAAAGGUUAUUCUGAAUGCAUUACCAAGUAUCCUGUGGAAUAUUUCACAUAAAAGGAAGCAGAAAAUGUAUAAAUGUAAACAGGCUAAUUGUAUGCAGAUAUAAAUUAUGGAUGUUGGUCUUAUGAAAAAGCAUUGCUGAUUUGCAGGGGGCUUACUCAGCAGCACUGCGUCUUGUCUAAGGGGAUAUUUAGUAUGGCUGUGAUGUGCAGAAUUUAAAACAAAACUUUAAAUUCUGGAGGAUAAAAUAUAGCCCAAUUGUGCUAAGACCACACUGUUGGGAGAAUGAGGUUUUUAGUUUAUUUCAUUGCUGUCGACGUUGACACUCAUUAGCUCUGUUAUCCUCCGUGCGUUCUUAUCUCUAGAUGCUGUGCGAAAGCAAAGGUUUGGUUAAAGGCUGUUUCUGGUUAAAUGCCACUUCCUGAUAGUCACUGCAGGUGACGCUGUCCCCAGUACUCAGUGUGGUUUUCACUGCUCAAGUGGGCAUGUCGUACUCACAAUCAAAGGCAGGCUAGGGAGAUGCUUGCAGUCUCAGACGGUAGAGAUUACUAAAGCUUCUUUUUUUUCCUUAACUACAAAACAAAUACAAAUAUGAAACUUAUAAAACGUGUCAUAAGAUGAAAGACAGUCAAGUUGAAUGGUGCAAAUGGAAAGAUCUCCGAUACGAUGACUCCUUACGGUAUUCAUGAGGAUUUGCAAUGUCGUAGACACUCUUCCAAAUAUCGAAAACACAUGAUGAAGAAAAGAAAAAAAAUACAGGAGAAGACAGGAGUCACCUCCCCUGAGGGAUCGACACUAUUCUGCUGCCAUGCAUGUGUGUAAGCGCUCUACACCUUCCACAGUCAGAGUGGACUCAGGGAGACAAGGGUAAGGACUCUUUCAAAUGAUAGACUGUUUCCCUAAAAAGGGACAGCUUAUAUUAUUAACAUAAUGGACUAAGUUCAAGAAGAGUUGGGCACUUAGUUAAAUGUUUCCCUACUUAUCAGUAGCCAUCAGAUGAUGGCUCAUAAAAGGAGCAAUUACAAAUGAGAUAAACUUUUUAUCUUUGCACAACCAUGUUGUCAUGAGUUUUUCAAAAUCCCUGUUCAGUAGACAUUUGGUAAAUGUUAACUUUCCA